AAAUCAGAAAGCAUUACCACGUCAAGGAAAAAACAAACUAUCGGAUAUGAUUGAGGCGGUUAUGUACGCCAGUAAAGUAUAACGAUGUAUCCUAAGGUAAAAAAUGUGUUUCGUAAGGUAAAUCGUAAGGUAAAAAAUGUGUUUCGUAAGGUAAAUCGUAAGGUUAAAAAUGUGUUUCGUAAGGUAAAUCGUAAGGUUAAAAAUGUGUUUCGUAAGGUAAUAAAAAUAAUGUUUCGUUGCCUUACGUAAACAUCGGCAUAACCGCUAAUGUCGUAGGGGGAUUAUCAUGCCUUCCUGUGAUUGGCCGAGCAAGACGAGUGUGAGGGAACAGGUAUGAGGGUCUUGAUAGCUUGUACAAUGACGACUAAAAAAGCUGGGCUCGUAUCCUCAAACGUUUCGGGGUCCUGAUGUAACUAUUUCUAACCCGUCCGCUGCGAUUAGCACGGAUUUGGCCUUCACUGGUAGCCUGGUAACAUACACUCCCAGGUCUUUCUCUGCCUCUGUGGUGGAUAGUGGAGUGUUUCCCAUGUGAUAUAAGUAUGCUGGAUAUCCCCUGCCAAGUGCAUGACUACAUUGUUCUUCAUUGCCUUGUAGCAGCCACUUUUUGUUCCAUUCCUGUAGCUUGGUGUCUUCUCGUAGGAAAUCCUGUCAAUUAACACGGAAGAUACGACAAGUGCUCAUGAUUGCUUCCCCGGUCAUGGCGCAGAAACCUCGGGAAUAUGAAGUUCUCAGUAUCUCAUAUAACUUACAGAAGCUAGUCUUGUACUUUUAAAUGCUUAGGGGUCUUGUUACAGCUGAUUUUAAAGGUGUUACAUGAGUUACGAUGGGUUCUCAAGUGGGUUUUUUUUCUGUUCGUGACGCGGAAACUUUACAAUGCUCAAAUCGAAUUAAACUACCCAUAGAAAUCACUUAAAACUUCCAAUUGAAUCUUUUUAAACAGCAGCUACGGGAAACUUUCAUGAGUGUUUCGCUGUUCAUGUUACAGAAACUUAAAAAAUAAUGCUUCUAUCUCUUGUUAAAACCAUUCUUGAAGACCACUAAGACGAUACGAUGGAUUCUCAUGAUUGUUUUACCCGUUCACGUCCCAGAAACCUUAUCAAACUUCUGCUGGGGCCAUGAAACCUCAACCAUAAAUACAAUAAACCCCAUGAAUAACCCACAAACCACAAGAAACACUCAUUAAUAACCCAUAACCCACAAACCCUCAUAUAGAAACUAGAUAUCAAAUGAAACUAUCCAUGGAAAUACCUACAACUUCUACGAGAGCCCGGUACAAUAGUUUCAAUAGAUGUUACGUACAAAGGUGCUGAAACGCUUUGAGAAUACGGGUCCUGGGCUACACUCUACUGCCUUAGUGCCUUAGAUCUGUAAUUUAAUGUGUCUAUAUGUCCAGCCAGUAUGUAGUGUGUGUCUGUGAAGGGUUGAAGGAGGUGGCUAGGUAUUGGUAACACUGGCACACGGAUGGAGCUCUCGUGUGUGUGUGAAGUUAAAGGAUAGAGAGGAAAUAAACUAGUUCCUUGUUUAUCAGAAUAGGGAAUAGCGAAGAAUGAGUCUUGUUGAAUUCCUUGGUAGUGUUCCGAAAUAUCAGAAUGGUUAAGUUGGAUUAGGAAAGGCAGAUAAUCAGUUAAUUCAUUCCCUGUUAACAUUAUUCUCCUCAGUGGCUGGGAAUAAGGAAAACAAGGCAUGAAUCUCUUUUUCUUGGUAAUUUUCCCGAAUAUUUGAAUGCUUAAGAUUGGGUACGUUACUGGGAAUGAGGAAGGAAAUUAAUAUAUCUUGUUAAAUUCCUUCUUAACAUUCCCUAAUACUGUAAUGCUCAGCUGGAAUAGGAAAACAAAGAAUAAGUUAGUCCAUUCCUUGUUAAUAUUCCCUCAAAUCCACUGUGAGGGAAUGAGGAACAAGGAAUGAGUUAACCUUAUUCUGUGGUCAUUCCCUUUCCAUACACGACUGGGAAUAUGGGAAUCUAAAGUUGGAAUAGGAA